GCUCAGUUAGGGCUCUUGCCACUCCCCAUACUGGCCCCCAUGGCUUGUCUAAAUAGGACCUUGUUUCAACUUUUCUACUUACUGUGACCAGCCAACAGGUGACAUAUUUGUACAGCACAAACUUGCCCCAGAUCAGCAUGUACAUGCAGCGGAACCAGAAGGGGUGGUUCUUGAGGGAAGAAAGCACAGUGCAUUAGGGAUAUCACAUGACUAGGCAGUUUCUCUCAGCACUCUUCCUUUUCACACUUGUGGCUGGCUACUUCAUACCUGCCUGAGUCCUGCUGCCAGAUGCCCUCAAUAGUCUGGCCUGAUUGCCUUCACAAUAGGCAGAGAGGAAUAAGCAGAGGGCCUGGAGAAUAUUCAUUCGCCUUUCCCUUGGAGAGCCUCAAGGGCAGCACUGUAUUUAACUUCUCUACUGUUUGCCUUCGUUGGCAAAGUGUUUGGAAUGAGCAUUUGGAAUGUUAAGUACAGAGGGGCCCAUAUUGGAUUUUAAUUUAAGGAGAGAAACCUGCCCAGAAUUACUGAACUGUUUUCAAGCCUUUCAGCUGGGCAGGAGCAAAAGCCAGCACUUCCCCCCUUCCCUUGGUUUCUGAAUUCCCUAGAAGUGCCCAAAUGUAUCAGUCAAGAGAAGAAAAUAGGAUGGAGAAUCAGAAGCUGCUGUGCUCUGAGGGGUCACGUGGAUGUGAUAAGGCAAGCUAGGAGCGGCUCCUAGAGAAGGCAACGGGUGCUAAAUGUGCACCUGGCACAGCCCUGUGCCCGCGAAGGUUGUUCAGUGCUGGCUGAUGAACAUGUCCCAGCACGGCUGGCAUUGACAACUCACAGAUCUAGAGCAAAACCAACAUGCACUUGUAGAUGAUAUUUCCUACUUCUCUGCUAUCUGUAGGGAUCCUUGCCUGUCCAUUUUCUAGCUCUGGUGCAGUCAUGCUGCUGCUGCUUUAGUAGACACUCACGUCAUAGUCUUCAGUGAGGAGAUAGUCUUCUGUGAUGUGGGGGCUGAGCAGUGUGUAGCCCACUAGGUAGAAAAGGCCCAGACUCAGGCGCUUGAGAGCAGGAAUGAUGCUGGAAAGGAACGAGUGAAGUUCCUGGUCACAGAGAGCAGAGACUAUUCCCUUCACCCUCUGACCUUCAGUUAUGGAGAGGAGUGUUUAGGGGUGUGGUUGUCUACCUGGAAUGGGAUGAGAAGCUCUGCUGCCCAAAGUGUUUCCUGUUUCAGGGAAAGAUUUCUAUGGCUGGCUAUGAGGAAUGGGGACUGCAAACCUCUUAAGAGUUGUAGGAAAGUCAGGGCAGCAGACAGUGGACCAGUCUUGUGUUUACCCCUCAGGGAUGCUACUGAUCUCAAGGUCUUGCCAGGUCUCACAAUCUCCAUUGGGACUGAAAACCCAGUGGAGGUAAGAUAAUAAAAAUAACCACUUUG
rnacentral:lncRNA from 1 species